GAUGAAGAACGUAGCGAAAUGUGAUAAGUAGUGUGAAUUGCAGAAUUCAGUGAAUCAUCGAAUCUUUGAACGCACAUUGCGCCCCAUGGUAUUCCGUGGGGCAUGCCUGUUCGAGCGUCAUUUACCCCCUCAAGCUCCGCUUGGUGUUGGGCGUCUGUCCCGCUUCGCGCGCGGACUCGCCCCAAAGGUAUUGGCAGCGGUCGUGCCAGCUUCUCGCGCAGCACAUUGCGCUUCUCGAGGCACCGGUGGGCCCGCGUCCAUCAAGCUCACCCCCCCAGUUUGACCUCGGAUCAGGUAGGGAUACCCGCUGAACUUAAGCAUAUCAAUAAGCGGAGGA
rnacentral:misc_RNA from 1 species